AGUGAACGCUGGCGGUAGGCCUAACACAUGCAAGUCGAACGGCAGCACAGUAAGAGCUUGCUCUUACGGGUGGCGAGUGGCGGACGGGUGAGGAAUACAUCGGAAUCUACUUUUUCGUGGGGGAUAACGUAGGGAAACUUACGCUAAUACCGCAUACGACCUACGGGUGAAAGCAGGGGAUCUUCGGACCUUGCGCGAUUGAAUGAGCCGAUGUCGGAUUAGCUAGUUGGCGGGGUAAAGGCCCACCAAGGCGACGAUCCGUAGCUGGUCUGAGAGGAUGAUCAGCCACACUGGAACUUAGACACGGUCCAGACUCCUACGGGAGGCAGCAGUGGGGAAUAUUGGACAAUGGGCGCAAGCCUGAUCCAGCCAUACCGCGUGGGUGAAGAAGGCCUUCGGUUUGUAAAGCCCUUUUGUUGGGAAAGAAAAGCAGCAGGUUAAUACCCCGCUGUUCUGACGGUACCCAAAGAAUAAGCACCGGCUAACUUCGUG
rnacentral:rRNA from 1 species